UACGGAAGGGGCAAGCGUUGUUCGGAAUCAUUGGGCGUAAAGGGCGCGUAGGUGGUUCUGUAUGUCUACCGUGAAAGCGUACGGCUCAACCGUAUUUUGUCGGUGGAAACUGCAGGACUUGAGGCUGGGAGGGGCUGGUGGAAUUCCCUGUGUAGCGGUGAAAUGCGUAGAGAUGGGGGAGAACACUCGUGGCGAAGGCGGUUCUCUGGGACGGUACUGACGCUGAGACGCGAAAGCGUGGGGAGCGAACAGG
rnacentral:rRNA from 1 species